rnacentral:sRNA from 1 species
UCUAUUUUUAGUAGAGACGGGAUUUCACCAUGUUGGCCAGGCUGGUCUUGAACUCCUGACCUUGUCAUCCACCCGCCUCGGCCUCCCAAAGUGCUGGGAUUACAGGCGUGAGCCACCACGCCUGGCCUGAACGGAACUUUUUAAUCUUAAGAGCCUGGAGUCCGUUUAACACUGUCACCUGGCCAGUUCUUUGCGGUGAAUAGAGGUGGAGCAUCCAGGCCUCCCCGUGCCGUGGGAAGCACUGCCGCCAGCUCCGCACAGUCAAGUGAUGUUUGUGUAACCACCGACUAUACCCCUAGGAUCCCCAAGGAAGGAGCCACCCCUCGGCCAGUCACCAUGUCUGCGGUGCUCCUCUCACGCCCUUGUCCCCUUGGGCUCGGGCAUCACCCCUGCUCUCCCCUCAGACCUGGGAGUCACCCCUGCACUCCUCACAGGCCCAGGAGUCACCCCUGUGCUCCCCACGGCUCCGACGUCACCCUGCAUUCCCCGCAGGCCUGGGUGUCACCCCUGCACUCCCCACAGGCCCAGGCGUCACCCCUGCGCUCCCCACGGCCCCAAUGUCACCCCUGCGUUCCCCGCAGGCCCCGGUGUCACCCCUGCGCUCCCCGCGGCCCGGGUAUCACCCCUGUUGUUCCCGCAGGCCCCGGUGUCACCCCUGCAUUCCCCAUGUUCCCAAUAUCACCCCUGUGUUCCCUGCAGGCCCCGGUGUCACCCCUGCGCUCCCCACGGCCCCGAUGUCACCCCUGCAUUCCCCGUGGGCCUGGGCAUCACCCCUGCUCUCCCCGCAGGCCCUGGGCUGCAUCUUGUACCUGCUGUGCUUCCGGCAGCACCCUUUUGAGGAUGGAGCGAAACUUCGAAUAGUCAAUGGGAAGUACUCGAUCCCCCCGCACGACACGCAGUACACGGUCUUCCACAGCCUCAUCCGCGCCAUGCUGCAGGUGAACCCGGAGGAGCGGCUGUCCAUCGCCGAGGUGGUGCACCAGCUGCAGGAGAUCGCAGCCGCCCGCAACGUGAACCCCAAGUCUCCCAUCACAGAGCUCCUGGAGCAGAAUGGAGGCUACGGGAGCGCCACGCUGUCCCGAGGGCCACCCCCUCCCGUGGGCCCCGCUGGCAGUGGCUACAGUGGAGGUCUGGCGCUGGCGGAGUACGACCAGCCCUAUGGCGGCUUCCUGGACAUUCUGCGAGGUGGGACAGAGCGGCUCUUCACCAACCUCAAGGACACCUCCUCCAAGGUCAUCCAGUCCGUCGCUAAGUGAGUGUGAGGCUCCAGAGCCCUGGACCUGCCGCACGCUCGUUCCAGGCUGCAGCCCCGGCCCUUGCUUCCUGGCUGCGGUGGAACAGCUGGUCAUCAGGCCCCACAGGGGCCCCUGAGGCAGUGGGACAGCAUCACCCGCUUCUCCCAGGGAGUCGGAAUGAGCCCAGCAUCCCACAGAGCCAGGCAGAUCCCUUUCCUUUCAUCGCCUGGGGGGCAAGGCCCUGCUGGGGAGAUGCCUGGGCCCGCCCCUCCCUUGCUGCGAUGUUGCCCCUCACUCUGGGGCGUUCCUGGGUUGUUCCCGGGACUCUGUGUAAAUUGGGUGAAACCUCGGUGGUGGCGCCUCACUGAGCCAGUCCUUGAGUUAAAGCCCUAGUUACUCAGACUUAGACCAGGUGAGUCCCAGCCUGUGGUGGGAGAAAGUCUCCCUCUGGGUGGGCUGUCCAAGGGCGCGUCUGUGCGGGGGUGGCCCCGACAUCGGCCCACAGGCCCGGCAGCCUCUGCUCACGGAGCACUGGGAAUGUUCCAGAGUGCAGCCCCUCUGCGUUGCGGGGUCCAUGCGCUGGCUCUUCUGAGGAGCUGAACGCCCAGGAGCACGCUGGCUGCUCAUCUGGCCCUGCGGUCGCACCAGCUCAAGGGUGUCGGCUAUGUCAGGAAACAGCCUAGGAGCUGGGCUGGACUGGUGCCCGUGAUGCAGGAACUGCGGCCCCUGGUGGGCCCACGUUCCUUCCACAGCUGGCGACACCUUCGGGCUUUUUCUUGUGUUUUUUGUUCUGUGCUGUGAUCACUGUUUUGUGUCCCCAGCACCAGGUAGACGUGUGUGCACUUGUGCCUGCGUGUACCGCAGCGUCUGCACAUGUGAGCGUGGGUGCAUGUGUCUUUGAGCAUGUGUGCAUGUGAGGGAAUGGGUGUGUUAACAUGCAUAUGUGUGAACAUGUGUGCAUGUGUGUGUAAAUGCUGGUGUGAGCAUGUGCAUAGGUGUGUGUGAUUGCUGGUAUGAGCAUGUGUGCUGGUGCUUGUGAGUCCUUGUGCUUGUGAAUCCUUGUGUGAGCUGAGUGCUCGUAUUGUGUGCAGGCACGUGUAUGAGCACAUGUGCAUGUUGGAGCAUGUAUGCGUGUGUGCAUGUGUAUGCAUGUGUAGGAGUGUGAGUGCGCGUGAGCUGUGUGCAUGUGUACACAUGCGUGCGAGUGCCUGAGUGCGCGUGAACUGCAUGCAUGUGUACGCAUGCGCGCGAGUGCCUGUAUGAGCCGCGUGCAUGUGUACGCAUGAGUAGGAGUGCCUGUGAGUGUGCGUGAGCUGCGUGCAUGUGUACACACGCAUGCAAGUGUCUGUGAGCCACAUGCAUGUGUACGCAUGCACACAAGUGCCUGUGUGCGUGAGCUGCGUGCAUGUGUAUGCAUGCGUGCAAGUGCCUGUGAGUGCAUGUGAGCCGCAUGCAUGUGUGCACAUGCGCGCGAGUGCCUGUGCGUGAGCUGUGUGCAUGUGUAUGCAUGCGUAGGAGUGCCUGUGAGUGAGCAUGAGCCGCGUGCAUGUGUACACGUGUGAGUGCGCGUGAGCCGCGUGCAUGUGUACACGUGUGAGUGCGCGUGAGCCGCGUGCAUGUGUACGCGUGAGUGCGCGUGAGCCGCGUGCAUGUGUACGUGUGAGUAUGCGUGAGCCGCGUGCAUGUGUACGCGUGUGACCCGCGUGCAUGUGUACGCGUGUGACCCGCGUGCAUGUGUAAGCGUGUGUAGGAGUGCUGUGUGAGCGCCUGUGUGUGUGAGCUGUGUGCCUCUGUGUGUGCUGCACGUUUGGCUGUGUGGUUCCAUUACCUGUGUGCCUUGUCCUUGUGCAACCUUUUGUGGAGAGAAACCUGUUCUUAGUGGGCCUGCAUAUCCCCAGAGCAGGACGUGAGCCCACUCGCACCUCUGGGCACCUCCUCUGUGACGCCUCCUGCCUGAGUUGUGGCUGACAGAAGAUCAGAGGCAGCUCCGUCUGUCUGGUGCCAGCGCACCGCCCACUGGGCCCAGGGCUGUGGCUCCUGCAGGGUCCUGACAGGUGACACUGCGUGUGGAGCGUCAGCAGGGCUAGCCAUGGCCCCAGGGGGGCGAGAGACUCUCCAGCGUCUUCUUGGUGAGAGUGAUGUUGGGAUCAGAGUGGAAAUAAGACAGGAUGCGGCAGCAAAGCCAUAAGUGAAAGUCACUAAGAACGGUUACUUUCGCCGUCAGUGAAAAUGGUCUCCAUGGCUGCAGCACAUUGUGGGGACAGGCAGAGUGGAGUCAGCAGAGGGAGGAGGCGUGUGGGGUGUUCAGGGAGCCGGGCACAGCUGCAGGGUCCUCCCUGGGGGACUCCAGGCCACGCUCCCUCCCCAGCAGCUGUGGGGAUGGUGGGAGCUGCUGUCUGGUGGAAGCCUAAGGCCGCAGGGGCUGGUUCUAGAAAUGGCUCUGCUGGGACCCAUGGGUUCCAGGCCCUAGGAGGACACAGUUUGGCUUGAGCAGGCGCUGCUUGCAUGGCACUCAGGCACAGCCAGCUGCUGCUUGUUAGGGGAUGGUGGGAACCCUCCUGACACCCCCAGGUUCCAGCUGAGGGCAGCCCUGCUGUUUUGCUCUGCCUUCUGUUCACAUCACGUGCUUGAGGCAGGUGAAGCUGCAUAACCUCGUGUUUGUAAAGUUGACUUAGAAGCAACAGUGAGUUCUGGUUGGGCCUGGAGGCUCAAAAGAUGGCUGGGCACGGUGGCUUGUGUAAUCCCAGCACUUCGGGGGGCCGAGGAGGGAGGAUCACUUGAAGACUGAGACGAGCCUGGACAACACAACAACACAGCAAGACCCUGUCUCUACAAAAAUAAAAAAUUAGCUGGGCGAGGUGGCGUGCACCUGUGGUCCCAGCUACACUGGGGGCUGAGGUGGGAGGAUUGCUUGAGCCCAGGAGGUUGAGGCUGCAGUGAGUUGUGAUUGUGCCACUGCACUCUGGCCUGGAGUGAGCAAGACCCUGCCUCAAUUA